UACGUAGGGGGCUAGCGUUGUCCGGAUUUAUUGGGCGUAAAGAGCGUGUAGGCGGCCAGAUAGGUCUGCUGUGAAAACUCGAGGCUCAACCUCGAGACGUCGACGGAAACCGUCUGGCUAGAGUCCGGAAGAGGAGUGUGGAAUUCCUGGUGUAGCGGUGAAAUGCGCAGAUAUCAGGAAGAACACCUAUGGCGAAGGCAGCACUCUGGGACGGUACUGACGCUGAGACGCGAAAGCGUGGGGAGCGAACAGG
rnacentral:rRNA from 1 species